CAGUGUGGUGGUGCCAGGUAUACAGUGAUGCAGCUGCUUACUACAACAAGGUCUCAGUGCUCAAAGCAUCAGCCAACACCUGAUA